rnacentral:lncRNA from 1 species
CUAUCUCUCCAUUGGUGUACCACCUGAUAUUCAAAUUGCUGUAAUAAAUUCAAAAGAUUAUCCCAAAAGUCCCAUAGAUUCCACAAAGAACACUUCAAAGAUGAAGUCCAUGAAACCACCAACAAUGAAGCACACUCGAUGUCAAUAUGGUUUACACCCAACUCACAACAUAGUUUUAAAUCUUCAAUAAAUGCUCUCAAUUCAACUUCAUUGUUGGUCCCCUCACUGAAAUAGCUACUGAAAGCUGAAAUCAAUUCACCUCUUUCAUUCCUUAUUACUCCUCCCCCACUGAUUUGUCCAAGGUUCCCAAGAUUGCUACCAUCCACAUUGAGUUUCACUCGAUUAUGAUUUGGUUUUCUCCAUGAAACCACUCGAAUCUGCUUAGUUUUGAUUGGUGCAUGAGGUACCUCUAGCAUUUGAAGAGCAUACUCAUCAUGACUAGUUAGCACUUUUGCAUUUGACAAGUUAAGAGAAGCAUGUAGUAACCAGAAUUUAACAGAUAAAAACACGUCCUCAACAGAUUCUAUCUUACCCUCCAUCCUUGCUUUAUAUCUUCUUGUCCAAAGCCUCCAAGUAAUUAAACUUGGGAGCAAACCGAUCAAACAUUCCACCUUUGAUGAUCUUUAUGCUCUUGCCCGCCAUAAAUUUAUUCUUUCCAUCCAAUUUUGUCUUGGCCUCCAUCGCACACCCGCCAUAGCUCCUACUUUCCUCCACACCUUGUCCGCAAAGUGAUCCACAAAUUGACUUCUUAUACUAUUAAAAUAUGCUUGCGGCGUUAACAAUGAAUAUUUUUGCCGAUAAAGGUCUAAAUGCCAUUGGUAAACCUACUUACACAUGGAUUUUUUCAUUCGAUACAUAUUGAAGUGAAAGUCACAUUGAUAAGUUUGGGAUGCAACCUACAGAAACAUGUCUGUGAUACUGAUGAAUUUCAAUGGAAG